rnacentral:rRNA from 1 species
AUUGAACGCUGGCGGCAGGCCUAACACAUGCAAGUCGAGCGGCAGCGGGAAAGUAGCUUGCUACUUUUGCCGGCGAGCGGCGGACGGGUGAGUAAUGCCUGGGAAAUUGCCCAGUCGAGGGGGAUAACAGUUGGAAACGACUGCUAAUACCGCAUACGCCCUACGGGGGAACGCAGGGGACCUUCGGGCCUUGCGCGAUUGGAUAUGCCCAGGUGGGAUUAGCUAGUUGGUGAGGUAAUGGCUCACCAAGGCGACGAUCCCUAGCUGGUCUGAGAGGAUGAUCAGCUACACUGGAACUGAGACACGGUCCAGACUCCUACGGGAGGCAGCAGUGGGGAAUAUUGCACAAUGGGGGAAACCCUGAUGCAGCCAUGCCGCGUGUGUGAAGAAGGCCUUCGGGUUGUAAAGCACUUUCAGCGAGGAGGAAAGGUUGAUGCCUAAUACGUAUCAACUGUGACGUUACUCGCAGAAGAAGCACCGGCUAACUCCGUGCCAGCCGCCGGCCGUAA